rnacentral:rRNA from 1 species
AUGAAACACUCCUACGGGAGGCAGCAGUGGGGAAUCUUCCGCAAUGGGCGAAAGCCUGACGGAGCAACGCCGCGUGAGUGAUGACGGCCUUCGGGUUGUAAAACUCUGUGAUCCGGGACGAAAAGGCAGAGUGCGAAGAACAAACUGCAUUGACGGUACCGGAAAAGCAAGCCACGGCUAACUACGUGCCAGCAGCCGCGGUAAUACGUAGGUGGCAAGCGUUGUCCGGAAUUAUUGGGCGUAAAGCGCGCGCAGGCGGCUUCCCAAGUCCCUCUUAAAAGUGCGGGGCUUAACCCCGUGAUGGGAAGGAAACUGGGAAGCUGGAGUAUCGGAGAGGAAAGUGGAAUUCCUAGUGUAGCGGUGAAAUGCGUAGAGAUUAGGAAGAACACCGGUGGCGAAGGCGACUUUCUGGACGAAAACUGACGCUGAGGCGCGAAAGCGUGGGGAGCAAACAGGAUUAGAAACCCUUGUAGUCCGAAGUUC